GGCCUUGACAUACUAAGAACUUUCCAGAGAUGGAUUGGUGCCUUCGGGAACUUAGAUACAGGUGCUGCAUGGCUGUCGUCAGCUCGUGUCGUGAGAUGUUGGGUUAAGUCCCGCAACGAGCGCAACCCUUUUCCUUAUUUGCCAGCGGGUCAUGCCGGGAACUUUUAAGGAUACUGCCAGUGACAAACUGGAGGAAGGCGGGGACGACGUCAAGUCAUCAUGGCCCUUACGGCCAGGGCUACACACGUGCUACAAUGGUCGGUACAAAGGGUUGCUACCUCGCGAGAGGAUGCUAAUCUCAAAAAGCCGAUCGUAGUCCGGAUCGCAGUCUGCAACUCGACUGCGUGAAGUCGGAAUCGCUAGUAAUCGCGGAUCAGAAUGCCGCGGUGAAUACGUUCCCGGGCCUUGUACACACCGCCCGUCACACCAUGGGAGUUUGUUGCACCAGAAGUAGGUAGUCUAACCGCAAGGAGGACGCUUACCACGGUGUGGCCGAUGACUGGGGUGAAGUCGUAACAAGGUAAGCGUAGAUGA
rnacentral:rRNA from 1 species